AAAAUGGAAUGAUAUUGCCUAUAACUUAAACUCAUCUCAGGCCAGUCGCUUUUUUUUCACCAGUCUACCUAGGGUAAAUAAGUUAAAAGUCAACGACGACCACCAACUUUUCUAGCAGGGGGGGCCAUUUCCUCAUCAUCUGACUGGAUAUCUCCAUACAUCCAUAUCCCGCGCCUAUCAGCACGUGCUUCGUCCUGGAAUUUCUCCAAAUUAUCAAGGGCCACUUGUCUUUCCCUGGCGUCCCACUUCUUGCUCUUUUCUAUCCUAGCAAGUCCUUCCUGUACCAUGGCCGCAUUUACACUGAUCUCAGAAUCCACAGCAACAAGAGUUACAAUAAGAAUUGGCCCUGUUCCCUGUCCUUUAACUUUUCCCCCAGAAGUAUCCCUCUCCUCUACCUUAGCCCUAAACUCUUUUGAACUGCUUAACGUAUGAGCACUCAAAUACUCUGCCGCCUCUGGACCACAAUCCUCUUCCAAGCUUGGAACCUUAAUAUAUGCAAGACUGCACAACUGAGCAAGUCCGGGUGCCAAGGACACUGAAGGGUCAAGAGGCCGUAACUGAC
rnacentral:misc_RNA from 1 species